GACGAACGCUGGCGGCGUGCUUAACACAUGCAAGUCGAACGGAAAGGCCCUGCUUUUGUGGGGUGCUCGAGUGGCGAACGGGUGAGUAACACGUGAGUAACCUGCCCUUGACUUUGGGAUAACUUCAGGAAACUGGGGCUAAUACCGGAUAGGAGCUCCUGCUGCAUGGUGGGGGUUGGAAAGUUUCGGCGGUUGGGGAUGGACUCGCGGCUUAUCAGCUUGUUGGUGGGGUAGUGGCUUACCAAGGCUUUGACGGGUAGCCGGCCUGGGAGGGUGACCGGGCACAUUGGGACUGAGAUACGGACCAGACUCCUACGGGAGGCAGCAGUGGGGAAUAUUGCACAAUGGGCGGAAGCCUGAUGCAGCAACGCCGCGUGCGGGAUGACGGCCUUUGGGUGGUAAACCGCUUUCGCCUGUGACGAAGCGUGAGUGACGGUAAUGGGUAAAGAAGCACCGGCUAACUACGUG
rnacentral:rRNA from 1 species